AGCAGUUAAGCAUUUGGCUGUUAACCAAAAGGUUGGCAGUUUGAAUCUACCAGCUGCUC
rfam:Loxodonta africana unplaced genomic scaffold scaffold_4, whole genome shotgun sequence.